rnacentral:rRNA from 1 species
CCUACGGGGGGCAGCAGUGAGGAAUAUUGGUCAAUGGACGAGAGUCUGAACCAGCCAAGUAGCGUGAAGGAUGACUGCCCUAUGGGUUGUAAACUUCUUUUAUAAAGGAAUAAAACGAGGCACGUGUGCCUUUUUGCAUGUACUUUAUGAAUAAGGAUCGGCUAACUCCGUGCCAGCAGCCGCGGUAAUACGGAGGAUCCGAGCGUUAUCCGGAUUUAUUGGGUUUAAAGGGAGCGUAGAUGGGUUGUUAAGUCAGUUGUGAAAUUUUGCGGCUCAACCGUAAAAUUGCAAUUGAUACUGGCAGUCUUGAGUACAGUUGAGGUAGGCGGAAUUCGUGGUGUAGCGGUGAAAUGCUUAGAUAUCACGAAGAACCCCGAUUGCGAAGGCAGCUUACUAAACUGUGACUGACAUUGAUGCUCGAAAGUGUGGGUAUCAAACAGGAUUAGAUACCCCGGUAGUC